rnacentral:rRNA from 1 species
AUGAGAGUCAAAAACAAGGCUAACCGAGGGAAGGAGGGAGUACAUGCACAGGGGAACCGAAACCACUAUCUCCACAAGGCAGUUAAUGAGGAGAAACUGAAGCGGCCGCUCUCAGACAUGCAGGCGUGGGAGAUCGCCCAUACGCGGAAGGACUCCAAGCCUGACGGGCCCAAGUACUACGGCAAGAAGACCGCGGGGAGGAAGAAGGCCUACUCUGAAGCGUAUCUGAAGUUACAUCCUGACACACCUGACCCCAUUGCGGCGGCUUUGGAUGACAGGGCGGUGGUGAGCAUGGGGCCCAAGGAGCACGGCCGGGAGGCGGUUCUCGAUGCUGUGAUCCCUCCUAGUAUCUCCUACACACAGCUUCGUCGGAUCGACCCGAGCCUGAGCCAGCGCACGAGCCAGCCAGUGACCAGUGCCUACCUAGAGUACACACGCCAAGAGACCAUGGCAUGGCAUGAGAGGCUUUAUGAACACCAAGUGGAGAGGGAUCGCCAGAUGAAUCAGGCUUUUCAGGAUAUGGAGGCCGGCAGGAGUCUUCAGUUGCCGCCACCACAAUGUCCUCCAGCAAAACUAGUGCUGCUGACCUUUGAGGAGUUUGUGGCAGAGAAUGCUAGCCCCUCACCGGUGGAUCUACCAUUGGCGGUGGUCUUCACAGCACUCCGGAGACGCGGAGCCCGACCACUCCGAUCCACAGAGGCGGAGGCGGAGGUGGAGGCGGCAGAGGUGGAGGCGGUCUUGGCGGUAGCGUUGCCACUAGCAGUGACGACCUGGGCUUCGGCGGUCUUGGCGGUGACGACCUCCGCGGUCCUCACGUCAUGGCGCUUAAGCCUUGUGUGUGGUGAUGAUGCUUGA